GCAAUGUCUCCUUGGGCCGGGCUCCUCUCCACCACUGCCAGAGUCAGCCUGCUGCUGCUGCUGGGGUCUGCUCUUCUCCUGUUCCAGCCUGGGCCACAGAGUGCCUGAGUUUGCCCUUACAAAAAUAGAAGAGAGCGACAUAAAAGAUGACAGUGGGAAGGAGCCGGGGACAGAGGAUGACGCUGAUCCUGAAGACCUGGAAGUGUUUUACCCCACAGAUCAGUGGCAAACCCUGCCUCCAGGUCAGGCGGUUCCUGCAGGGUCACACGUGCGGCUGAACCUGCAGACAGGAGAGAAAGAAGCCAAGCUCCCGGACAGAGAAAAUGGGGAAAGUGACAGGAGGGAAGA